AGGAAUAGUUUCUUAUUAACAGCUGGCUAGUAAACACAGGUGGAUUAUACAUAAAACCAGAGUCUCUAAUUGUAGCUACAUUGCAAACACACAUAUUUGAAGUCGCUAAACACAGUCUGGUUGUAAGCUUCCAAUUUGUCUAGCAAGUCCCUUCCCAAUUACUGGGAGUUGGGGAACUAAGGAUUUUUCUUUUAACACUGGACAGUCUUUUUUUUCCAAUAUCUCCCCUUUCUACAGUGUGCACACUGGUCCUUCUCCGUAGGGGAAGUUUUUUGGGGUGACUUUUCCUGAGUUGCCUUCUUACUGGGCUGGGAUUUAACGGAUUUAACUCUUUCAGUUGAACCUCUAUCUCGAAACACUUUCCAGGCAACCUCUAGCAGCCUCUCCAUAUCUCGGACCCCCUCUCUCUUUUGCAGCUUCCUUCUUAUAUCAUUUGAAGCCUGACCCAUAAACAACAAAACCAGAUGUGCUUUACCAUCAGCUGAUUCAGGGUCUAGAUCAGUAUAUUUGAUGGCAGUUUCUCUUCACCUGUUCAAAAAAUCAGAUGGUGAUUCAUCAUCAUUUUGUCUUACUUCAGAAAGCUUUGACCAAUUUAUAGCUUUAGGUGCUCCAUGUUUUAACCCAUAUACCACAAGACUUUGAUAUCAUUUUAGCCUUGCCAUAUGUUCUGGUAUAUUUGGAUCCCACCCAGGAUUCUCAAGGGGAAAUAUCUGGGUGACAGUACCCUGAAGCAAUCCACUGGCUAUGCUCCCCUCCACUGAGGUUGUGAUGGCUUUAUUGACCAUUUGUCUCUCAGUGGGGUCGAGUAAUGUAUCCAACAUAGAGUUCAAAUUCGCCCAAUCAGGGUUUUGUGAGUUAAUAGCCUGUUAAUUUUGCCAUGGUAGUUUUCCACUGUUCUAACUCUAUAAGGGAGUAUGGAGCUUUCACGUAUAUUGGCCCCUGAUUACUGACUGCUUGUUGUAAGGGGGCUUGCAAAAUUGAUUCUCUUUCUUUCUCCCUUUUUGAUCUAGUGUGGUGGGCAAUUGGGCUACGUUCUCUGAGGGCUUUUCUUGCUAUCUUUCCCCUCCUCCACCUGUUUAAGACAGCAAUAAUCUCAUCCAUUUCAUCAUUCUUUUCUUCCUCCUCAGAGCCAUUUGUGCAAGAGCUGUCUGACCUUGUUGUAGCCAAGUGUCUACCUCGGCUAGUGCCAAUCCUAGAAAGCAUCAUGCAAGAUCCAUGGGAAGGGAGCCUGGCCUGAGCUGGGG